CAGGAUGAACGCUAGCUACAGGCUUAACACAUGCAAGUCGAGGGGCAGCAUGAAGUUUGCUUGCAAACUUUGAUGGCGACCGGCGCACGGGUGAGUAACGCGUAUCCAACCUUCCCUAUAGUAGAGAAUAGCCCGGCGAAAGUCGGAUUAAUGCUCUAUGUUGUAUUUUUGCGGUCAUCUAACGAAUACCAAAGGUUUACCGCUAUAGGAUGGGGAUGCGUCUGAUUAGGUUGUUGGCGGGGUAACGGCCCACCAAGCCCUCGAUCAGUAGGGGUUCUGAGAGGAAGGUCCCCCACAUUGGAACUGAGACACGGUCCAAACUCCUACGGGAGGCAGCAGUGAGGAAUAUUGGUCAAUGGGCGAGAGCCUGAACCAGCCAAGUAGCGUGCAGGAUGACGGCCCUAUGGGUUGUAAACUGCUUUUAUACAGGGAUAAAGUGCGCCACGUGUGGCGUUUUGUAGGUACUGUAUGAAUAAGGACCGGCUAAUUCCGUGCCAGCCGCGGC
rnacentral:rRNA from 1 species